rnacentral:misc_RNA from 1 species
ACAAACUUGGUCAUUUAGAGGAAGUAAAAGUCGUAACAAGGUUUCCGUAGGUGAACCUGCGGAAGGAUCAUUACAGAGUUAUGCCCCUUAAAUUGGGGUGGACCUCCUCUAACCCUAUGUUUUAUUUGAAUUCUGUUGCUUUGGCGGGUCGUAAGGUUUUCCAUUGGCUUCGGCUAGUGCGUUUACCCGUCAGAAGAAACCAAAAAACUCUGAACAUUAUCUGUUGUCUGGGUUACUAUUUACAAUAAUUAAAAACUUUCAACAACGGAUCUCUUGGUUCUGGCAUCGAUGAAGAACGCAGC